CAGGAAGUAGUUUAAUUAGAACGUCAGCUUUGGGUGCUGAUAGUGAGGAGGAUUAUCCUCUUCUUGA
rnacentral:tRNA from 1 species